rnacentral:rRNA from 1 species
AGUGAACGCUGGCGGUAGGCCUAACACAUGCAAGUCGAACGGCAGCACAGUAAGAGCUUGCUCUUACGGGUGGCGAGUGGCGGACGGGUGAGGAAUACAUCGGAAUCUACUUUUUCGUGGGGGAUAACGUAGGGAAACUUACGCUAAUACCGCAUACGACCUACGGGUGAAAGCAGGGGAUCUUCGGACCUUGCGCGAUUGAAUGAGCCGAUGUCGGAUUAGCUAGUUGGCGGGGUAAAGGCCCACCAAGGCGACGAUCCGUAGCUGGUCGGAGAGGAUGAUCAGCGACGCUGGGAAUGAGACAAGGCCCAGACUCCGAAGGGAGGCAGCAGGGGGGAAUAGUGGAUAAGGGGCGAAAGCAGGAGCCAGCAAUGCCGCGUGAGUGAUGAAGGCCUUAGGGUUGGAAAGCUCUUGUACACGGGAUGAUAAGGACAGUAACGGGAGAAUAAGCUCCGGCUAACGCCGGG